UAAAAACAAUAGUCACAAACUAUCUUAGUUCCACUACCAACCACUAGUCAAGGCCUAAAGUUUCCCUUCCCUUUUUGAACUCCAGAAAUAUAAAUGAUCACAAGACAGCCAAGAGUAGUUACAAAAUGUUUUCCUAUCAAUUAAACUAAAUUAGAUCUAUCCAGCAAGUGACCUUCCAUAUGCUAACUUAUUGUUACUUAAUAUCAAGAAAGCAAGUUUCAAGUGGUCAAUUGUGUUA
rnacentral:misc_RNA from 1 species